GACGAACGCUGGCGGCGUGCUUAACACAUGCAAGUCGAACGGAAAGGCCCUGCUUUUGUGGGGUGCUCGAGUGGCGAACGGGUGAGUAACACGUGAGUAACCUGCCCUUGACUUUGGGAUAACUUCAGGAAACUGGGGCUAAUACCGGAUCGGAGCUCCUGCUGCAUGGUGGGGGUUGGAAAGUUUCGGCGGUCGGGGAUGGACUCGCGGCUUAUCAGCUUGUUGGUGGGGUAGUGGCUUACCAAGGCUUUGACGGGUAGCCGGCCUGAGAGGGUGACCGGCCACAUUGGGACUGAGAUACGGCCCAGACUCCUACGGGAGGCAGCAGUGGGGAAUAUUGCACAAUGGGCGGAAGCCUGAUGCAGCAACGCCGCGUGCGGGAUGACGGCCGUCGGGUUGUAAACCGCUUUCGCCUGUGACGAAGCGUGAGUGACGGUAAUGGGUAAAGAAGCACCGGCUAACUACGUG
rnacentral:rRNA from 1 species